rnacentral:rRNA from 1 species
UACGUAGGUGGCAAGUGUUGUCCGGAUUUACUGGGUGUAAAGGGCGUGCAGGCGGUUUGUUAAGUGCAGGGUGAAAGCUCCCGGCUCAACUGGGAGAGGUCCUUGCAUACUGGCGAACUCGAGGGAGGCAGAGGAAAGUGGAAUUCCCGGUGUAGUGGUGAUAUGCGUAGAUAUCGGGAGGAACACCUGUGGCGAAGGCGGCUUCCUGGGCCUUACCUGACGCUGAGACGCGAAAGCGUGGGGAGCGAACCGG